rnacentral:rRNA from 1 species
CCUACGGGUGGCAGCAGUGGGGAAUAUUUCUCAAUGGGCGGGAGCCGGACGCAGCGACGCCGCGUGAGGGAUGAAGGUCUUCGGAUCGUAAACCUCUGUCAGCAGGGAAGAACGGUCACUGUGUUAAUCAGCAGUGAAUUGACGGUACCUGCAAAGGAAGCACCGGCUAAUUCCGUGCCAGCAGCCGCGGUAAUACGGAGGGUGCGAGCGUUAAUCGGAAUUACUGGGCGUAAAGCGCUCGUAGGCGGUAUGUCAAGUGAAGGGUGAAAUCCCCGCGCUCAACGUGGGAACUGCCUUUGAAACUGGCAGACUGGAGUGUGUGAGAGGAUAGUGGAAUUCCAGGUGUAGGAGUGAAAUCCGUAGAUAUCUGGAGGAACAUCAGUGGCGAAGGCGACUAUCUGGCACAUAACUGACGCUGAGGAGCGAAAGCGUGGGUAGCAAACAGGAUUAGAUACCCCAGUAGUC